CCUACGGGAGGCUGCAGUGGGGAAUAUUGGACAAUGGGGGAAACCCUGAUCCAGCGACGCCGCGUGAGUGAAGAAGUAUUUCGGUACGUAAAGCUCUAUCAGCAGGAAAGAAAAUGACGGUACCUGACUAAGAAGCCCCGACUAACUACGUGCCAGCAGCCGCGGUAAUACGUAGGGGGCAAGCGUUAUCCGGAUUUACUGGGUGGAAAGGGAGCGUAGACGGCAGCGCAAGUCUGGAGUGAAAUGCCGGGGCCCAACCCCGGAACUGCUCUGGAAACUGUGAAGCUGGAGUGCAGGAGAGGUAAGCGGAAUUCCUGGUGUAGCGGUGAAAUGCGUAGAUAUCAGGAGGAACACCGGCGGCGAAGGCGGCUUACUGGACUGUAACUGACGUUGAGGCUCGAAGGCGUGGGGAGCAAACAGGAUUAGAUACCCCAGUAGUC
rnacentral:rRNA from 1 species